rnacentral:rRNA from 1 species
GAUGAACGCUGGCGGCGUGCCUAAUACAUGCAAGUCGAGCGAACUGAUUAGAAGCUUGCUCCUAUGACGUUAGCGGCGGACGGGUGAGUAACACGUGGGCAACCUGCCUGUAAGACUGGGAUAACUUCGGGAAACCGAAGCUAAUACCGGAUAGGAUCUUCUCCUUCAUGGGAGAUGAUUGAAAGAUGGUUUCGGCUAUCACUUACAGAUGGGCCCGCGGUGCAUUAGCUAGUUGGUGAGGUAACGGCUCACCAAGGCAACGAUGCAUAGCCGACCUGAGAGGGUGAUCGGCCACACUGGGACUGAGACACGGCCCAGACGCCUACGGGAGGCAGCAGUAGGGAAUCUUCCGCAAUGGACGAAAGUCUGACGGAGCACCGCCGCGUGAGUGAUGAAGGCUUUCGGGUCGUAAAACUCUGUUGUUAGGGAAGAACAAGUACAAGAGUAACUGCUUGUACCUUGACGGUACCUAACCAGAAAGCCACGGCUAACUACGUGCCAGCCGCCGCGGUAAUAC